CCCUAGUUGCAUUGAAAGAAAGAACCCUUAUAGCGAUGUAAAAUAAGCCAUCUCGAAAAAAGUUACCAACGAACAAUCUAACAAUUCCAGCAAAGGUAUCGCGAAAGAUACUAUCGCGAAUAUCUCAAUGGAAAUGCAAAAAUUUUGCAGUAAAGAACUUCGAUGAAACCUUAAAGAGUUGGGUUUUCAUUGCCACCAUGAUCAAUGCAAGAACAGAGCUUAACAGAGGAAUCAAUCCAAGCGACAACCUAAGUUUUCAUGUGACAAAAGGAGCUUCAAUUUUGAUCAAGAAAAGAAGGAAAAAAAGAAACCUUUCGGUUAAGAGACAUCUUGAGGGUAGCGGUAUUGCCGGCAAGAAUAAGCCAACAACGGAGAUAAAUUGAGAAGAAAUGGUCAAGGCCAUGCAGAGAGAGAGAGAGAUAGAUGAGUAGCAUUUAUUUAUAAUCUCCAGUUUAGUAUUAAAGGGAGAUGAUUCCUAUUGUGGGCCUUGUGCCCGGGAAAAUGCGAGAAAAUAAUAAGCUGUUUGCAUAGGUUGAAAUUUACUUGAAAAAUGUGAAAUCUCAACGAACACCAGUAGCAACGAACAAGCGAAAAAUCAACCUUAUUAUUGAUUUUAUUUCGACAUAAACACAACAUUAAACCUCACCCUUAGACCCAAUCAACAUUAAACC